CCUACGGGAGGCAGCAGUGAGGAAUAUUGGUCAAUGGCCGUAAGGCUGAACCAGCCAAGUCGCGUGAAGGAAGAAGGAUCUAUGGGUUGUAAACUUCUUUUAUAGGGGAAUAAAGGUAUCCACGUGUGGAUAUUUGCAUGUACCCUAUGAAUAAGCAUCGGCUAACUCCGGCCCAGCAGCCGCGGGAAUACGGAGGAUGCGAGCGUUCUCCGGGUUUAUUGGGUUUAAAGGGGUCGUAGGUUGUUUUUUAAGUCAGCGGGGAAAGUUUGUGGCUCAACCAUAAAAUUGCCGUUGAAACUGGAAGACUUGAGUGUGUUUGAGGUAGGCGGAAUGCGUGGUGUAGCGGUGAAAUGCAUAGAUAUCACGCAGAACUCCGAUUGCGAAGGCAGCUUACUAAGCCAUAACUGACACUGAAGCACGAAAGCGUGGGGAUCAAACAGGAUUAGAUACCCGAGUAGUC
rnacentral:rRNA from 1 species